AUGUCCACCGACGCCGAACGUGCCGCCACCGAGAAAGCUGAAGCCGACAAGAAGGCCGCCGAGGACGCCGCUGCCGCCACCAAAGCCGCGGCCUCUGCAUGGCCUACUGAAGGCACGCUGACACUUUCUUCGUGGCCGCCGCCGUCACGGAACGAGGCCAGGAUCACCAAGAUGGUCGUCCACGGCGGCCAUCUCGUUGUCUACCUCAUCGACGCCGUGCUGAUUCCGACGGAGCCGGAGCCUGGCUUCUCGUUCUGGGACUUUUUGGGGCCUUUCCUACUUCUUGUCGCUGGGCCCCCGGCCUUAAUCUUGUUGUGGCGUGCACUUGUAUAUCUUUGUUCUCUCGUGUGCCGGCUAAGAAGAUGGUGUAAGGAUCGUGCUACUGCCUACAUUUCAGCUGCCCGUGUCACUCCACAUGGUCAACAAGAACAUUAG
rnacentral:rRNA from 1 species